AGAGUUUGAUCCUGGCUCAGGAUGAACGCUAGCGGCAGGCCUAAUACAUGCAAGUCGAACGGUGAUAGCAAUAUCAUAGUGGCGCACGGGUGCGUAACACGUAUGCAACCUACCUUAUACUGAGGGAUAGCCUUUCGAAAGGGAGAUUAAUACCUCAUAACACAUUGAACUGGCAUCAGUUUAUUGUUAAAGAUUUAUUGGUAUAAGAUGGGCAUGCGUCCAAUUAGUUAGUUGGCGAGGUAACGGCUCACCAAGACGAUGAUUGGUAGGGGAACUGAGAGGUUAAUCCCCCACACUGGCACUGAGAUACGGGCCAGACUCCUACGGGAGGCAGCAGUAGGGAAUAUUGGGCAAUGGAGGCAACUCUGACCCAGCCAUGCCGCGUGCAGGAAGAAGGCGUUAUGCGUUGUAAACUGCUUUUAUAUAGGAAGAAAUAGACCUUGCGAGGUAAGUUGACGGUACUAUAUGAAUAAGCACCGGCUAACUCGGUGCCAGCAGCCGCGGUAAUACGGAGGGUGCAAGCGUUGUCCGGAUUUAUUGGGUUUAAAGGGUGCGUAGGCGGUUUAUUAAGUCAGUGGUGAAAGACGGUCGCUCAACGAUUGCAGUGCCAUUGAUACUGGUAG
rnacentral:rRNA from 1 species